GCUCAGUUGGUAGAGUACAAGGCUCUUAACCUUGUGGUCAUGGGUUCGGGCCCCAU
rnacentral:tRNA from 1 species